AAGAAAAUAGUUAAAUUUAUAACAUUUAAUUUGCAUUUAAAAUUUAUUGAACUAUUUAAUAAUCAAUUUUUCUUA
rnacentral:tRNA from 1 species